ACAAUUAGUGAGAACAAAUCAAAUCUAAGAUCUCGGUUCCUAAAAACUUGAAAGAAAAAAAAACAAUCACCUAAAAGAAGAAAGAAGUUUAAAACAAAAUGCCUCAUAACAAAACGUCAACCUUAGUUUGGGAAAUCAAACCCUUAAGGAGCUAAAGGAUUUGUUCUCCAUUGGCUAAAGACCCAAGUGGAUAAGACCCAAUUCAUCUCAAAUCUACUCCACUUAGUCCAAGGUAUAAAAUC
rnacentral:lncRNA from 1 species